AGUCCCUCCUCCUCCCUUUUCCCUCUCGCCCCGCCUUCCCACCGCGGUUCCGAGCGGCGGGAUGGCGAGCGGGGAGGAGGAGGCGAGGGGGCGGGAGGGUAAAAUGGCGGCGGUGGCGGUUGGGCGCGCGCCCGGGGAAGGGCGGGAAGCGCCUCUCCCUGCCCUCUCCCUGCCCUCUUCCCGCCUCCCGCGGCCGGGAAUCUCCGCCAGGAACGCGCGCACGCCGCCGCUCUGACAGCGGCGGGGGAGCGGCUUCGGCUGCCCGCCCCUUCCCUCGGUGCCUAGAGCCGCGCUCGCCGGGCUGCCUCGGGGACCUCCCGCCUGAAGAGAGCGCUUAGCACGCUAAGCCGAGCUCCGUGGCGAGGAAGCUCCCAACUUCCAGGCGCGUUUCCAGGUCUUUUGGGUGGUUUCUUGGCGUUUUCCGCCGGCGGGGCGCGGGACGGAAGAGCCGCCGCCAUCUCCUUCCCGCGCAGCGCGGCUGAGGGCAGCGGGCGCUCCCGUGGGCGCCGCCGGCCCGCACCCGCGAGUGGGCUUGUGGAGGGCUACGGUACAUGUAACUGGAAUAUGGAUCUCGGCUGGUUUUCCCCCACAGCAGGCACUUCCCGAGGAUGAAGCGCUAUUUUUUAUUUCUGUAGUACCACCCAGUGGCGAGUCCUUGUGUUACUCCGAGCGCUGCGAGUUCACCGACCUGUACACGGGAUUAAAAACCCAAAUCUAUUAAUAGCCGCAAUGCAGAUGCACUAUAGUUUAGUGGAAAGUCAAAUAGAAUCACCAAACGAGGGGGAAGAAAAAAAAAAAAAGUUGUUUUGAAUUCCUCUGCGGCUGUCUCGUAUUUCUUCCACUUGAAAUAAAUCCGCUGGCAUGGUGGAGAUGCAGUUCUGGGGUUUUUUUAAUUCUGUGUGUAUAUUUAUCCAGGCUGAUAACAGCGUGGUGGCUGUGUGUGUAACCUCCCACUGCAGGCCACAGAGUGCUCAACUCCAAACAAUCCUCGAGGCGUCACUUUGUUAAACCGAGAUUAAAAACCCCACUGCUGCUCAAAAGUAAGAGACAAUUUACUGUAAACAACAGGUAGGGAACAACUGCAGUGCGAGAAUGAUGUUUCACCCAGAGUUCUUGUCACUGCUUGGUUUUGAAAUACUUUCCAAGUUAGGCUUAUCAACAAAGAUAGCUAUUCCUAAAUAUUCCCUGCGGAAAUUUCCUUUUACUAUUUUAAACUAAUACAGUAAAUUAACUUGAGACUACAGGAGACACAGAUUCCUUGUCUGUCACUUUAAUUCACAUAACAUUAACAUGUAUUUGCAUUACAUGCAAAUGUAUUUCAAAUGGGAAUAACAAGGGGUAGUAGUACAAGAGAGAGGUUGAAGACUGUGACUAAAAACCUAAAAACUUCCCUGAAACUUUUUACUGAUGUUUCUCCUUGGAUUUAAUUUAUAGAUGUUUUAAUUCCUGUGUUUUCUAAAUUAUGUAUUUUCUGUUGAUAGAAAUCUGACCAGCACAAGCUAGUUAGCUAUUAAACUAAUUGGUUAUGUCACUAAACCUCCAUAAUAAUAACUAUUUAAUAGCUAACUGGUUUAGUUAUUAAAAUGACACAGAUGUACUGGACCCUGUAAAGCCUUUUUUGGUUGUUUCAUCUCUUCCAGCUAGCCUGAGAAUUCGUAAUGGAAGAAUAAAAGGAGUCCAGGACAUGGCAAUUAUGUUCUGCUGCUGCCUGAAUUAAUGUAGUGUCCACCUUUCUCUUCUACAGCAUGGAUUUCAGAGCCCAAGGUCCAUCAAAAGGUAGAUCAGAGGAUUUUAUGUGGUGCAUCUACACGUGAGUUUUCACUUCAUGUUGUGCUGCCUCCCUUCUGUGUGUCCAAGAGGAUUUCAGCUCCUGUAGAACACCUCACUCUACAAUCUCAUUGUCUCAUUUGAAGUUUCAGUUUUCUCUCUGCUCUCUUCCUCACACAGUAACUUUUCCAGCAGACUCCAAAGGAACUGCCAGAACAUCUUCAGAGAUGGUUUUCCUGGGCGAUGAGGAAAUCCAGACAGGAACCAGCAGUCAGCUGUGUGAUCUGAGUGCAGCCCCACACAAACACCAGUCAGCAGCAGGGACCUUCUGGAGCCUGUGUCACAUGCCAGGCUCAAGGAGCACAGCACAAGAGCAUGGGUGACCUUGAGUCACUCCUGCUUUUGAGCAGAACAGGAUAUUGAAAGCCUCAUUCCUUUUACUGCACACUUUUAAAUUUUUUUUUUUUAAGCUGGAGACUAAAUUGAAUUCUUUUAAAUUAAAUUAAAUGUUGGCUUGCAAGCUGCAGACAA